ACUCCUACGGAGGCAGCAGUAGGGAAUCUUCCGCAAUGGACGAAAGUCUGACGGAGCAACGCCGCGUGAGUGAUGAAGGUUUUCGGAUCGUAAAGCUCUGUUGUUAGGGAAGAAUAAGUGCAGAGUAACUGCUUGCACCUUGACGGUACCUAACCAGAAAGCCACGGCUAACUACGUGCCAGCAGCCGCGGUAAU
rnacentral:rRNA from 1 species